rnacentral:misc_RNA from 1 species
CAUCUAUCAAGCCCGGCUUGGUCUUGGGGGUUCACCGUCUUGAUUGACGCCCCUUCAAACCGUAGGCGGCUGCGUGGUUGCACCGAGCGUAGUAGAAAAUUGCCGCUCCGGUCGCUCCCACGCCGCCCGCCAGCACAAAACUAUUCAAA